rnacentral:lncRNA from 1 species
UGCAAAUUUUGUUCGUAUACAUUAACAUAAGCGCUGCCAAAGAAAAUAUUAUGCAGUAAAUAGCCAAAACCUGUGCUCGAUUUUCCCCAAUUUUCAGACAAUCGUCCACAAAAUAUUUGAGACAAACCCCCUCCCCCGAUUUCAAUGUUGUUAGGCACUACAAUAUAGUUUAAUUCCAACAUCAUAUGUUAAAUUCCAACUGCCAGUGAUACAGUAGCGGUGCUAGUGUCACCUUAUGUUCGUUUUGGAUAAGUCCAGUAGGUUUCAACAUUGAAAUAAGGGGGGAGGGG